rnacentral:rRNA from 1 species
CUCUGGUAUUGAUUGGUGCUUGCAUCAUGAUUUACAUUUGAGUGAGUGGCGAACUGGUGAGUAACACGUGGGAAACCUGCCCAGAAGCGGGGGAUAACACCUGGAAACAGAUGCUAAUACCGCAUAACAACUUGGACCGCAGGGUCCGAGUUUGAAAGAUGGCUUCGGCUAUCACUUUUGGAUGGUCCCGCGGCGUAUUAGCUAGAUGGUGGGGUAACGGCUCACCAUGGCAAUGAUACGUAGCCGACCUGAGAGGGUAAUCGGCCACAUUGGGACUGAGACACGGCCCAAACUCCUACGGGAGGCAGCAGUAGGGAAUCUUCCACAAUGGACGAAAGUCUGAUGGAGCAACGCCGCGUGAGUGAAGAAGGGUUUCGGCUCGUAAAACUCUGUUGUUAAAGAAGAACAUAUCUGAGAGUAACUGUUCAGGUAUUGACGGUAUUUAACCAGAAAGCCACGGCUAACUACGUGCCAGCAGCCGCGGUAAUACGUAGGUGGCAAGCGUUGUCCGGAUUUAUUGGGCGUAAAGCGAGCGCAGGCGGUUUUUUAAGUCUGAUGUGAAAGCCUUCGGCUCAACCGAAGAAGUGCAUCGGAAACUGGGAAACUUGAGUGCAGAAGAGGACAGUGGAACUCCAUGUGUAGCGGUGAAAUGCGUAGAUAUAUGGAAGAACACCAGUGGCGAAGGCGGCUGUCUGGUCUGUAACUGACGCUGAGGCUCGAAAGUAUGGGUAGCAAACAGGAUUAGAUACCCUGGUAGUCCAUACCGUAAACGAUGAAUGCUAAGUGUUGGAGGGUUUCCGCCCUUCAGUGCUGCAGCUAACGCAUUAAGCAUUCCGCCUGGGGAGUACGGCCGCAAGGCUGAAACUCAAAGGAAUUGACGGGGGCCCGCACAAGCGGUGGAGCAUGUGGUUUAAUUCGAAGCUACGCGAAGAACCUUACCAGGUCUUGACAUACUAUGCAAAUCUAAGAGAUUAGACGUUCCCUUCGGGGACAUGGAUACAGGUGGUGCAUGGUUGUCGUCAGCUCGUGUCGUGAGAUGUUGGGUUAAGUCCCGCAACGAGCGCAACCCUUAUUAUCAGUUGCCAGCAUUAAGUUGGGCACUCUGGUGAGACUGCCGGUGACAAACCGGAGGAAGGUGGGGAUGACGUCAAAUCAUCAUGCCCCUUAUGACCUGGGCUACACACGUGCUACAAUGGAUGGUACAACGAGUUGCGAACUCGCGAGAGUAAGCUAAUCUCUUAAAGCCAUUCUCAGUUCGGAUUGUAGGCUGCAACUCGCCUACAUGAAGUCGGAAUCGCUAGUAAUCGCGGAUCAGCAUGCCGCGGUGAAUACGUUCCCGGGCCUUGUACACACCGCCCGUCACACCAUGAGAGUUUGUAACACCCAAAGUCGGUGG